rnacentral:rRNA from 1 species
UACGAAGGGGGCUAGCGUUGCUCGGAAUCACUGGGCGUAAAGCGCACGUAGGCGGAUUGUUAAGUCAGGGGUGAAAUCCUGGAGCUCACUCCAGAACUGCCUUUGAUACUGGCGAUCUUGAGUCCGGGAGAGGUGAGUGGAACUGCGAGUGUAGAGGUGAAAUUCGUAGAUAUUCGCAAGAACACCAGUGGCGAAGGCGGCUCACUGGCCCGGUACUGACGCUGAGGUGCGAAAGCGUGGGGAGCAAACA